rnacentral:rRNA from 1 species
AUGCAAGUCGAACGAUGAAGCCCUUCGGGGUGGAUUAGUGGCGAACGGGUGAGUAACACGUGGGCAAUCUGCCCUGCACUCUGGGACAAGCCCUGGAAACGGGGUCUAAUACCGGAUAUGACUGUCUCGGGCAUCCGGGACGGUGGAAAGCUCCGGCGGUGCAGGAUGGGCCCGCGGCCUAUCAGCUUGUUGGUGAGGUAACGGCUCACCAAGGCGACGACGGGUAGCCGGCCUGAGAGGGCGACCGGCCACACUGGGACUGAGACACGGCCCAGACUCCUACGGGAGGCAGCAGUGGGGAAUAUUGCACAAUGGGCGCAAGCCUGAUGCAGCGACGCCGCGUGAGGGAUGACGGCCUUCGGGUUGUAAACCUCUUUCAGCAGGGAAGAAGCGCAAGUGACGGUACCUGCAGAAGAAGCGCCGGCUAACUACGUGCCAGCAGCG